rnacentral:rRNA from 1 species
AGAAUUUUUCACAAUGGGCGAAAGCCUGAUGGAGCGACGCCGCGUGGGGGAUGAAUGGCUUCGGCCCGUAAACCCCUGUCAUUCGCGAGCAAACGUUAUUAUUUAAAAGAUGAUAGCCUGAUAGUAGCGAAAGAGGAAGGGACGGCUAACUCUGUGCCAGCAGCCGCGGUAAUACAGAGGUCCCAAGCGUUGUUCGGAUUUACUGGGCGUAAAGGGUGCGUAGGUGGUGGGGUAAGCCGGAUGUGAAAUCUCCGAGCUCAACUCGGAAAGUGCAUUGGAAACUACCCUGCUCGAGGGUUGGAGGGGGGACUGGAAUACUUGGUGUAGCAGUGAAAUGCGUAGAUAUCAAGUGGAACACCAGUGGGGAAGGCGAGUCCCUGGACAACUCCUGACACUGAGGCACGAAAGCUAGGGGAGCAAACAG